GAUGAACGCUGGCGGCGUGCCUAAUACAUGCAAGUCGAACGGUCGACUUCGGUCGAUAGUGGCGAACGGGUGAGUAACGCGUUGGUGACCUGCCCCGAAGAGAGGGAUAACAGGCCGAAAGGCCUGCUAAUACCGCAUGAGCUAGCCAUGGAUUAGGAAGUGGUUAGGAAACGGAGCAAUCCGCUUUGGGAGGGCCUGCGUCCCAUCAGCUAGUUGGUAAGGUAACGGCUUACCAAGGCGAUGACGGUAGGGGCCUGAGAGGGUGAUCGGCCACACUGGGACUGAGACACGGCCCAGACUCCUACGGGAGGCAG
rnacentral:rRNA from 1 species